AGAGUUUGAUCCUGGCUCAGAUUGAACGCUGGCGGCAUGCCUUACACAUGCAAGUCGAACGGUAACAGGUCUUCGGAUGCUGACGAGUGGCGAACGGGUGAGUAAUACAUCGGAACGUGCCCGAUCGUGGGGGAUAACGGAGCGAAAGCUUUGCUAAUACCGCAUACGAUCUACGGAUGAAAGCAGGGGACCGCAAGGCCUUGCGCGGACGGAGCGGCCGAUGGCAGAUUAGGUAGUUGGUGGGAUAAAAGCUUACCAAGCCGACGAUCUGUAGCUGGUCUGAGAGGACGACCAGCCACACUGGGACUGAGACACGGCCCAGACUCCUACGGGAGGCAGCAGUGGGGAAUUUUGGACAAUGGGCGCAAGCCUGAUCCAGCCAUGCCGCGUGCAGGAUGAAGGCCUUCGGGUUGUAAACUGCUUUUGUACGGAACGAAAAGACUCUGGUUAAUACC
rnacentral:rRNA from 1 species